CCCAAUACUGCAGGGCGAA
rnacentral:misc_RNA from 1 species